rnacentral:rRNA from 1 species
AAAUUGAAGAGUUUGAUCAUGGCUCAGAUUGAACGCUGGCGGCAGGCCUAACACAUGCAAGUCGAGCGGUAGCACAGAGAGCUUGCUCUCGGGUGACGAGCGGCGGACGGGUGAGUAAUGUCUGGGAAACUGCCUGAUGGAGGGGGAUAACUACUGGAAACGGUAGCUAAUACCGCAUAACGUCGCAAGACCAAAGUGGGGGACCUUCGGGCCUCAUGCCAUCAGAUGUGCCCAGAUGGGAUUAGCUAGUAGGUGGGGUAACGGCUCACCUA